rnacentral:rRNA from 1 species
AUUGAACGCUGGCGGCAUGCCUUACACAUGCAAGUCGAACGGUAACAGAUCUUCGGAUGCUGACGAGUGGCGAACGGGUGAGUAAUACAUCGGAACGUGCCUAGUAGUGGGGGAUAACUACUCGAAAGAGUGGCUAAUACCGCAUGAGAUCUACUGAUGAAAGCAGGGGAUCGCAAGACCUUGUGCUACUAGAGCGGCCGAUGGCAGAUUAGGUAGUUGGUGGGAUAAAAGCUUACCAAGCCGACGAUCUGUAGCUGGUCUGAGAGGACGAUCAGCCACACUGGGACUGAGACACGGCCCAGACUCCUACGGGAGGCAGCAGUGGGGAAUUUUGGACAAUGGGCGCAAGCCUGAUCCAGCAAUGCCGCGUGCAGGAUGAAGGCCUUCGGGUUGUAAACUGCUUUUGUACGGAACGAAAAGCCCUGGGUUAAUACCCUGGGGUCAUGACGGUACCGUAGAAUAAGCACCGGCUAACUACGUGCCAGCCGCCGCGGUAAGAC